GUUGAACUGUUCCUUUGGAUUUGUUGCAACGGAUGCAUGAGGGUCCAUUUGCAUGGCAUGGAACUAAGUUUGGAAAGCUUUAUUUUAAUGGUGAAAGGUCUCUUUUGUUUUCGGUGUCUCUAGACACAUCUGCCUUUGCGGGACCAUGAGAGGAAUUCAGCCAUUUCACAACAAGAGCUGCCCGGGUCACACUUCAACCCUGACAAAAUUCCCCUGAGCCCCAGACACGAGUGGGCCAUGCACUGCUGGAGAAGGCUCGGUUAAAAGCCCGCUUCAAUCACGCCAAAGGGGAACGCCUCCCAACCCGCCGUGCCCAUUCUGCCCAGAGAUAUAACCCGAGGCAGCAGUCUGGGAGUGGUUCACAACCGGUCCAAAAGGCUGUGGCUGUAUAUCCCAAAGAAGCGCUAACAGACCCCCCUGCACCGGGCCCACUCCUCAUCCCACAAAGCAGAGACCCCUCCCCUGGGAGGGGGGGUAAUCGUCGGUAUGGGAACUCGCCCACGCGGGUGCGGUUUGAGGACGAAUCAGAGAACGAAGCGGAGUCUUGCUACCUGGAUCGGGCAAGGGAGAGUGGGCGGGCCACGGGCCAGAAAUCCAAGGGCAUUCUAGAAAAGAAGAAUGAGCAUCACAGGCCCUACUCCAAUACUGGAGGACGUCAGUUUCACGAAUGCUGCUUCUACCCAGGUGACGGAGUUAGCGAUGUUGGUGAGGAAAUGUGAAGAUUGUGGAUCUAAUCUUAGGGAUCUUCCGGUGCCCGAACCACAGACUGCUACGGCCCAGCCCGGAAACGCGGAGGAAAAUCAGGGGAAGAAGGUCACUCGCUGUGUCCUACCAGCUCAAUCAGAUGGGAUCCCCCAACUAGAACAGCCCAGCAGUGUCUGCCCCAAAGUGGCAGCGGUCACCUUCGGGGAGAUCCUGAUUCUG